CUCGAUGAGAUACUGUGAUGUUUUAUUGGAAUAAUAAUUUCAUGUAUUAUGUGGUUAUGCUGAUGUAUCGUAUCAGAUGGAGAACAUAUUGGAAUUUCUAGGCUAGAACAAGUUUUAGUUGAUCACAAGACUGACCUAAAGCAAUAUUCUUUGAGUUUACUCCAGACCUAUAUAUUAACUUCAGGUAAAUAUCUUUGCCAAGGCUGAUGACCUUCAGAAUCAGGCUCAACCUCUUGAAGAUUUUGCAAGAAGGCUUAAACCGAAGGUAUUUAGUAAAUGUUGAAUCUUGUCAGAAAGAUUUAGUUCUUUGAUUUCGUCUUCAUGUGUAUAUUUUUACGUGCAGCUUAUGUUUAUAUUUGGGACCCUAUAUUAACUAAGAUUAACAAACCGACGAAAUCUGUAGGAAAAAGUGUGGUGAUUGUGGUAGGAAAGACUUUUGAUCAGUUGGUAUCAAACUGUCCUGAUAAUGUUCAUCUUGAGGUAAGUAAAACCAAAAGACCACUCUACUAAACGAAAGAUUUUAUUAAUUGAAACCGAGAUAAAAACUCAUGGAUCGUGUGGGGGAAACUAAAAACAGGUACAUAAACCAUGUUGUUUAAUUGUGAGGCACUGAGAAGCAUAUGUCGUGAAGUUGGCUAAGCAUUUCAAAGGCUUUGAGAAUUUUAUUUGUAAGAAUUUAUGUAUCAGAAAAUGAGCAGCCUAAACUACAUGUGAAUUAAAUCUUACCUAAAACCAAGAUAGGUGAUUCCCAAAUCAUGACCCGAUCUUUGUUAAUGAUAGGUUAA